GAUGAACGCUGGCGGCGUGCUUAAUACAUGCAAGUCGAACGGAGAGUAGCAAUACUCUUAGUGGCGAACGGGUGAGUAACGCGUUGGUGACCUGCCCCGAAGUGAGGGAUACCAGUUCGAAAGGACUGCUAAUACCGCAUGUGGUUAUGGUGGUUAGAGUGCUAUAACUAAAGCAGCAAUGCGCUUCGGGAGGGGCCUGCGUCCCAUCAGCUAGUUGGUAGGGUAAAAGCCUACCAAGGCGACGACGGGUAGGGGACCUGAGAGGGUGAUCCCCCACACUGGCACUGAAACACGGGCCAGACACCUACGGGUGGCUG
rnacentral:rRNA from 1 species